rnacentral:rRNA from 1 species
GACGAACGCUGGCGGCGUGCUUAACACAUGCAAGUCGAACGGAAAGGCCCUUCUUUUGUGGGGUGCUCGAGUGGCGAACGGGUGAGUAACACGUGAGUAACCUGCCCUUGACUUUGGUAUAACUUCAGGAAACUGGGGCUAAUACCGGAUAGGAGCUCCUGCUGCAUGGUGGGUGUUGGAAAGUUUCGGCGGUUGGGGAUGGACUCGCGGCUUCUCCGCUUGUUGGUGGGGUAGUGGCUUACCAAGGCUUUGACGGGUAGCCGGCCUGAGAGGGUGACCGGCCACAUUGGGACUGAGAUACGGCCCAGACUCCUACGGGAGGCAGCAGUGGGGAAUAUUGCACAAGGGGCGGAAGCCUGAUGCAGCAACGCCGCGUGCGGGAUGACGGCCUUCGGGUUGUAAACCGCUUUCGCCUGUGACGAAGCGUGAGUGACGGUAAUGGGUAAAGAAGCACCGGCUAACUACGUG